UACGAAGGGGGCGAGCGUUGUUCGGAUUUACUGGGCGUAAAGGGCGCGCAGGCGGCUUAUUUUGUCAGGCGUGAAAGCCCCGGGCUUAACCUGGGAACUGCGUUUGAUACGGAUGGGCUAGAGUUCGGGAGAGGAGAGUGGAAUUCCCAGUGUAGAGGUGAAAUUCGUAGAUAUUGGGAAGAACACCGGUGGCGAAGGCGGCUCUCUGGACCGAGACUGACGCUGAGGCGCGAAAGCGUGGGGAGCAACAGGAUU
rnacentral:rRNA from 1 species